GGUCUCAUUAUCACAGUAUCAGACCACUUCCUAUGCUGGAACAUUGUGAUCCUUAUGACAUCCCUGCAGCAGGACGUGGAGACCUCAGGCACCAGGAGCAGAGUACUUGCAGUGGGUCAUCCCACAACAGCAACUAAACAUCCUGUUCCAGUGUUGAGAGGAAUCUGGCCCUGCAGACAUUCACCUGUGACUUUCCUCAUUGUCUUUAUUUUUCUUGAUGCAAGCUGACAUACAGACAGAGCCCUACCAUCUAUGCUACAGUGGUUGGAGGCCCAAGGUGAGAGGAGCCUUGUUGCAUAGCAUGUACUGGCAGAGCAGUGCAGCCAGCACAGUUAAAGAACUGUCAAGGAUAGAGCAUACAAACCCUCUAAAGGUAAUAUUUCUGUGCUAUGAAGUGCUUUCUGCUGCUGGACUUCUAAUAUCCAAAUUCUUCCAUUUAUUCAGAAAUCAUGGCAGUAUGUGUUACUCUGAGAGCAAAGAGUUAGCAGAGUUAACAGUUGCUGGAGGCCAGGUGAGAUGAACACAGCUCACUUUAACAAUUUACAUUUGUUGGCCAUUUUGUGUACUAAUGUUCUCCCAGUGGAAUGCUACCAUAGCUGGGAAGGGAAACUGUCCUCCUAGCACCACACAUAGGCAAGGGUUGUAGCUGCUAGCAUGUUAAACUGAGUCUCGGAGCUCUGUAAAUGGUUGUGGCACGUGUGGAUAGAGAAAGAAAAAAAGAAAUGUCACUCAUCAGGACUUUGACACUGUGAAAUAACAGUGAGAAACAGUGAAGAGAGUGUAAGAGCCUCAAAGCAGGAAAGAUCUCUGCGAAGUCUUCCCUGAUCAGUAACCAACAUGACCCACAGCGCUUCACUGAGAGAGGGGCAGGGAGUUUAAAUCAAACACACAUAGAGACCUUUGUACCAACAAGCAGAAGGUCUUCCUGGGCUUUCUCAGGCGUGUGAUGAGUUUUGGGGCAGCUGGAGCUAAGCAGCUCCUAGGCGCGGAGCUGGCUGUGUAACCCCAGCAUUUUUGCGGCUGUCAUAAUGUCCCACCAUGAGCUGAUUUUGACCAUCUUCCACACAGGUUAGGAGGUGUACAGUGUUUCCUAAGGUGUGUGACAGGCUUUUAUUGUUCCUCAUGCCACCAUAUGUGGCUGAUAGUUUGCCAAGACCAAGUAGGCAGCAAGGAAAGCCAACACUUAGAGCACAUGGCAGAAGAGCUGCUCUCCGUUCCCUCCGAGGUAGUGUAAAUCCUGGGUGUGAGCAGCACUAAUUAGUUCCCAUUAUGGGCCAGCACAGUGAGUGUCACAUGGAGGUGAUUAGCUCAAGCACAAUGUAUUGAAGCAGGAGAUUCCUUUGACAUUUUGGCCUGCAUUUCCAGGGGCUCACUCUAGCAGUGAUUUGGCAAAUGAAAAUUAGUACUGGGUAAAGGCCCAAUGUGAGACGCGCAGUAGAAAGAUUAGCACUUAGUCCCACUGGGUCUGCUGUUGCUCACAGCCCCCACAUCCUGCUGUGGUCCAUGAAGUGUGACCUCGAGGGCUGGGGCAGGAAGGUCCAAAUUGUGACCUGGGCAUUGGUGGCUUGGUUAGGUCAUGGAACUGCUAGCUCUGUAUGAUGGUCUUUAGGCUCCAUGUCUUUUGGAUGUCCAUCACACGUGUAAGUAAGUAGCCAACUCCCAGCCCACCACUGCCUAAUUCUGGGAGAUCCUUGUAGUAUGGAAGGAAGCUGAAACGUAGGCCAUGAGUUGUAUCAGAUAAGGCUGGGCUUUGGCUCACUACGCAUCUGUUUGUGACUUUCCCCUGGUGUUGUGGGACUGGGAGCUCCCCAGCUCAUCCCAGAAGGCCCCACUGCUGGGCUGCAGUGUGUAAUUAUAAAGUUAACAUUGGGCUGGUGUUGCUGAUGCUUUGCUGUUGGCCCACAGGCAGGCUGCCUGUAUGUGAGUGCAGUGCUAGAUAGCAGUCCCAUGGCAUAAGGCUUUUU
ensembl:lncRNA